rnacentral:SRP_RNA from 1 species
UUUCGGGCUCUGUGCAACUGCAGCCCGUGAACCCCGCCAGGGCCUGACGGCAGCAACGGUAGCGGAAACUGUGGUGUGCCGCGGAUCACCCGAAACCU